UACGAAGGGGGCUAGCGUUGCUCGGAAUCACUGGGCGUAAAGCGCACGUAGGCGGCUUUUUAAGUCAGGGGUGAAAUCCUGGAGCUCAACUCCAGAACUGCCUUUGAUACUGAGAAGCUUGAGUCCGGGAGAGGUGAGUGGAACUGCGAGUGUAGAGGUGAAAUUCGUAGAUAUUCGCAAGAACACCAGUGGCGAAGGCGGCUCACUGGCCCGGUACUGACGCUGAGGUGCGAAAGCGUGGGGAGCAAACAGG
rnacentral:ncRNA from 6 species